rnacentral:rRNA from 1 species
GACGAACCGUGCGAACGUUGUUCGGAUUCACUGGGCUUAAAGGGCGCGUAGGCGGGCGGCCAAGUCAGGGGUGAAAUCCCCCAGCUCAACUGGGGAAGUGCCUCUGAUACUGGCUGUCUCGAGGGGGAUAGGGGCAUGCGGAACUCUCGGUGGAGCGGUGAAAUGCGUAGAUAUCGGGAGGAACGCCGGUGGCGAAAGCGGCAUGCUGGAUCCCUUCUGACGCUGAGGCGCGAAAGCCAGGGGAGCGAACGGG